ensembl:lncRNA
AAGUCAAGAAGGACAGCAGCAAGUGUAGGCUCAGGAUUAAAGAAAAAAAUCUGCUCACAGUCUAUUCUGGAGGUCACAUCACCAACAAAGCUCACACCCUCUGCAGCUCUGAGAAGGUGGAGGCACCAGGCUCACAAGAGGAAAUUUAAAAUUUCUCGUUGGGAAAAGCUUGCUGGCAUUUGGACUGAAAGAAACUACACUAUUUGGAUCUCCUGGAUCUCCAGCUUGCUGACUGCAGAUCUAGGGAUGUGUCAGCCUCUACAGUCACAAGAGCCAAUUCAUUCUAAUAAACCAAUCUCUCUGUAUGUGUGCAUGCGUGUGUGUGUGUAUAUAUGUAUAUGUGUGUGUGUACACAGAUGAGGUGUAUAUCUGUGUGCUUACCUCAUGGGUGCAUGUGUGUAGACACAAACACACACACACACACACACAAGCACACACAUCCUGUUGGUUCUGUUUCUCUAGAGAACCCUGACAAACACAACGAUUAGCGAGGAUAUGAGAACCAAAUGGGCGGGCUGAGCAUCCGCUCUCGGGGCUGGACUUCCUGAGAGGAAGGCUUCCGUCUUUCAAACAGAUUCAUUUUUCUAGUUUGCCGCCUUGUGCUGGUCCUGAGUGAACAGGAAGGAGAAAGUGAGUAAAUCCCCCAUGCUCUAGCCUGGGAUAGGACAGACCCAGUGAAAUGGGUCUAUCUGUAAUUUAGAAUGGACAAACAAAGAGCAAACCGCAGCCUCGAAGAUAGUGUGGCCUGGAGUGGAUUUGAGUUCUUGAGGGACAAAAUCUCAACUGCCCAGCAGAGGUCUCAGGAGGCUCCACAGAGGCAGAAUGCUUUCUUUAGGGGGAUGGCCCCACCUGCUAGGAGAGCAGUACGGCUCUUGUGACUGCAGAGGCUGACGCAUCCCUAGAUCUGCAGUCAGCAAGCUGGAGCGCCAACAGUGUAGUUUCUUUCCGUCCAAAUGGCAGCAAGCUCAAGACCCAAGAAGAGCCACUUUUCAGUUGGAGUCUGAAGGCUGAAAAGCUAUGUCCCAGCCCGAGGCAGGAGGAGCUCCCCCUUACUAGAGGAAGAAUCAGCUCUUUUGUUUUAUUCAGACCUUCAACAGACUGGAUGGGCCCCACCCACAUUAGGGAGAGCAAUCUGCUCUAUUUAGUCUAGUUAUUCACAUGUUCAUCUCACCCGGAGAGACCCUCACAAAACACUCAGAAUCAUGUUUGACCAAAUGUCUGGACACUCUGUGGCCCAGUAAAGUUGACACACAAACUUAAUCAUCACAAUCACAAAGGUGGUCUCUCGGCUCCACACAUUUUUUUUGGGUUGUUUCUCAGUUGGGUCAGAUCUCUGAGCUGUUACUUUUAGGGUCUCCUCAAAGAGAAGAGAGGCUCGGCUUCCCUCACGUUUGUGGUUAAAAGAAAGCUAUUCCAAGAUUAUGCCCACUUCCUCUUUUUGUUUUGUCUUUUGUCACUUCUGAAAGUCCACCUGUCUCUUUGGCAACGAGCUGACCUGUUUCAUGUCUCCUAAUUUUAUCUCAACUAGCCAACCUUAUUGUCCUUCCCCUCUUCCAAUCUCCUCUGAUUGAUACUGCCCACUCAACAGAGAGCUGGCCGUAAGAAUAACUACUACUUAUUAAGGAAUUAAUGUGUCUUAUUAAUGUGUCUUACCUUAUGCUAAGCUUUUUGCAUAAAUUAUCUUAUUUAGGGUGCAUAACAGGCCUAUGCAAUAUGUAUCCAUUACUGUCCCUGUUCUCAGAACCAAGCCGAGUUCGGCUGCAUUUUCUCAAGGCCUGAUAAUGAGAAGCAGACAAACUAGGAAAGAAGGGAAUUUAUUGCUGUAACCAGAUAUAGUGAGAAGGCCAGAGAUAAUUCCAUCGGUCCAACUCAAAGUGUUACAAUUUUCUUAGUGCUUAUAUAGGUUGGGGUUAUGUGCUUAUGUGCAGUAUAGCAUUUGCUUAAGUCUGUUAGUAACUAAUUUUGUUUCAACUAGAAAGUCAGAGGCAAAAAAAAAAAAAAAAAAAGAGCUUGCUAAGUCCAAUUAAAAGGCCCCCAGUACCUUCAAAACCGUCUACUGUGGUACUGGAGUGAUUAUUUCUAUCUUAUCUCCUUUACGGCUUGGUCCGGAGAGCUGUCUUAGACUCUCCAAUGAAUCUAUUCAAACAGCUGCCUCUGUUACCUUGACCCGUCUCAGAUUUCAUUGACCAGAGACAGGUCCUUGCUCUAGGAAUGUAUGACUGUUGGUCCAGAGACCUGCCUUAGACUCUCCAAUGAAUCUAUUCAAACAGCUGCCUCUGUUACCUUGACUCAUCUCAGAUUUCUGUUGUUGAGGGCAGAUUCUGGCACCAGGAAUGUGGCGACUGUCUCUAUGAUUUUUGGCUUAUCCAGG